CAGUCGACGCACGAAGUUGAGAGCUUGCUCUUUAACCAAGUGAGUGGCGGACGGGUGAGUAACACGUGGGUAACCUGCCCAUUAGAGGGGGAUAACAUUCGGAAACGGAUGCUAAUACCGCAUAGUUUCAGGAAUCGCAUGAUUCUUGAAGGAAAGGUGGCUUCGGCUACCACUAAUGGAUGGACCCGCGGCGUAUUAGCUAGUUGGUGAGGUAAUGGCUCACCAAGGCAAUGAUACGUAGCCGACCUGAGAGGGUGAUCGGCCACACUGGGACUGAGACACGGCCCAGACUCCUACGGGAGGCAGCAGUAGGGAAUCUUCCGCAAUGGACGAAAGUCUGACGGAGCAACGCCGCGUGAGUGAAGAAGGUUUUCGGAUCGUAAAACUCUGUUGUUAAAGAAGAACAAGGAUGAGAGUAACUGCUCAUCCCCUGACGGUAUUUAACCAGAAAGCCACGGCUAACUACGUGCCAGCAGCCGCGGUAAUACGUAGGUGGCAAGCGUUGUCCGGAUUUAUUGGGCGUAAAGCGAGCGCAGGCGGUUCUUUAAGUCUGAUGUGAAAGCCCCCGGCUCAACCGGGGAGGGUCAUUGGAAACUGGAGAACUUGAGUGCAGAAGAGGAGAGUGGAAUUCCACGUGUAGCGGUGAAAUGCGUAGAUAUGUGGAGGAACACCAGUGGCGAAGGCGACUCUCUGGUCUGUAACUGACGCUGAGGCUCGAAAGCGU
rnacentral:rRNA from 1 species